ensembl:snRNA U6 U6 spliceosomal RNA
GUGGUCAUUUCGGCUGCACAUAUACCAAAAUUGGAAAGAUACAGAGAAGACUAGCGCGGCCCCUGGGCAAGGAUGACAUCCAGACUGCUGCAGCAAUCCCUAUUUUU